rnacentral:rRNA from 1 species
UUGCCUCAGUAACGGCGAGUGAAGCGGCAACAGCUCAAAUUUGAAAUCUGGCUCCUUUCAGGUGUCCGAGUUGUAAUUUGUAGAGGAUGCUUCGGCUUACGCCCCGGUCUAAGUUCCUUGGAACAGGACGUCACAGAGGGUGAGAAUCCCGUUUGUGGCCGGCGGCUUCCGCCAUGUGAAGCUCCUUCGACGAGUCGAGUUGUUUGAGAAUGCAGCUCUAAAUGGGAGGUAUAUUUCUUCUAAAGCUAAAUACCGGCCAGAGACCGAUAGCGCACAAGUAGAGUGAUCGAAAGAUGAAAAGCACUUUGGAAAGAGAGUUAAAAAGUACGUGAAAUUGUUGAAAGGGAAGCGCUUGCGACCAGACUUGCCCGCGGAUGCUCAGCCGGUCCUUCGGCCGGUGCACUCUUCCGCGGUCAGGCCAGCAUCAGUUCGGGCGGUCGGAUAAAGGCCUCGGGAAUGUGGCUCCUCUCGGGGAGUGUUAUAGCCCUUGGUGCAAUACGGCCCGCCUGGACUGAGGCCCGCGCUUCGGCUAGGAUGCUGGCGUAAUGGUCGUAAGCGGCCCGUCUUGAAACACGGACCAAGGAGUCUAACAUCUAUGCGAGUGUUUGGGUGUCAAACCCGUGCGCGAAAUGAAAGUGAACGGAGGUGGGAACCCUCGGGUGCACCAUCGACCGAUCCUGAUGUCUUCGGAUGGAUUUGAGUAAGAGCAUAGCUGUUGGGACCCGAAAGAUGGUGAACUAUGCCUGAAUAGGGUGAAGCCAGAGGAAACUCUGGUGGAGGCUCGCAGCGGUUCUGACGUGCAAAUCGAUCGUCAAAUUUGGGUAUAGGGGCGAAAGACUAAUCGAACCAUCUAGUA